UACGGGGGGGGCAAGCGUUGUUCGGAAUUACUGGGCGUAAAGGGCUCGUAGGUGGCCAACUAAGUCAGACGUGAAAUCCCUCGGCUUAACCGGGGAGCUGCGUCUGAUACUGGAUGGCUUGAGUUUGGGAGAGGGAUGCGGAAUUCCAGGUGUAGCGGUGAAAUGCGUAGAUAUCCGGAGGAACACCGGUGGCGAAGGCGGCAUCCUGGACCAACACUGACACUGAGGAGCGAAAGCCAGGGGAGCAAACGGG
rnacentral:rRNA from 1 species